GAAGACCAUGCGUGGCGCCGCAAGUUAAAAUCAGCUGUUCCCUUGCAACUGGGUCGCCAUAACGGCGUCCUAAGAACUUUGCCAAUUCUUCGCGACACUCCCAAAGACCUGAAGUGAUGCCAUAUUGAAACAGUCACAAUCAUCAGGUUUGAUGGAUCAGUUCAAUUGACUUUGCACUCUCACCAAUCUGUGCUGCGUCGCCCUCAUCAUCAUGAGUCCACAUUGCUUGAGUACAUCAGGACCUGGUGCACCCACUGAGAGUUUGCUGCCUGACGUUCACAGCACAACUGAUAUACCACAGCUGCUGACUAUACACAACCAUUUUAACAUCGUUACUAACUGCAUAUGCGUAGCAUGAUUUCACAAGCAUGUACAUACACUGAUGUAUCACUGCUUGAGAGAAUUACACUCAUCAACAUUGCCGUACGUGUACGUAUACGUUACGUAAUAAAAAAAUGAAUAACGUUGGCUGCAAUAGUCGAUCCGAAUUUCCCUUAUCAAGAUGAACCUAUACAAACAGUAAUGUGACUGAUAAAGGAUUGAAUCUCCUCAUUAAAAGAUUCGUGACACAAUUAUGAGGGAGAUGAAUCUUCCUAGUAGACCAGUCGAAUUACGGACUAUGAGAAGAAUUGCCGCGAGGAAUACUCGGACCUCAAACACUGUAAAGAAGCUGAAGUCAAGUACUAGUGGUAGAAAAAGUAUAAAUAGAAAUUUUAUAAAUUGAAAACUGAAUAGAAUCAGUACAAAAUAAACAUUUUUAAUAAUA